AACGCAUAUUGCGCCCUUUGGUAUUCCGAAGGGCAUGCCUGUCCGAGCGUCAUUAUCACCCCUCAAGCUAGGCUUGUUGUUGGAACGUGGUGCCGCCCCUUGGGGUUGCCGGUCACCCUUCCCAAAGAUAAUGACGGCGUCUGCGAGGACUCCUGUACACUGAGCUUUCGAGCACGUACUAGGCCAGCACUCCAGGCUCCGGUCACCACAAAAAUUUUUCAAGGUUGACCUCGGAUCAGGUAGGGAUACCCGCUGAACUUAA
rnacentral:misc_RNA from 1 species